AGGACGAACGCUGGCGGCGUGCUUAACACAUGCAAGUCGAACGGAAAGGCCUGCAGCUUGCUGCGGGUACUCGAGUGGCGAACGGGUGAGUAACACGUGGGUGAUCUGCCUUGCACUUCGGGAUAAGCUUGGGAAACUGGGUCUAAUACCGGAUAGGACAGCUGUUUAGUGUCAGUUGUGGAAAGUUUUUUCGGUGCAAGAUGAGCUCGCGGCCUAUCAGCUUGUUGGUGGGGUAAUGGCCUACCAAGGCGUCGACGGGUAGCCGGCCUGAGAGGGUGUACGGCCACAUUGGGACUGAGAUACGGCCCAGACUCCUACGGGAGGCAGCAGUGGGGAAUAUUGCACAAUGGGCGGAAGCCUGAUGCAGCGACGCCGCGUGGGGGAUGAAGGCCUUCGGGUUGUAAACUCCUUUCGACAGGGACGAAGCGUAAGUGACGGUACCUGUAUAAGAAGCACCGGCUAACUACGUGCCAGCAGCCGCGGUAUACGUAGGGUGCGAGCGUUGUCCGGAAUUACUGGGCGUAAAGAGCUCGUAGGUGGUUUGUCGCGUCGUCUGUGAAAUUCCGGGGCUUAACUCCGGGCGUGCAGGCGAUACGGGCUGACUUGAGUGCUGUAGGGGAGACUGGAAUUCCUGGUGUAGCGGUGAAAUGCGCAGAUAUCAGGAGGAACACCGAUGGCGAAGGCAGGUCUCUGGGCAGUAACUGACGCUGAGGAGCGAAAGCAUGGGUAGCGAACAGGAUUAGAUACCCUGGUAGUCCAUGCCGUAAACGGUGGGCGCUAGGUGUAGGGGGCUUCCACGUCUUCUGUGCCGUAGCUAACGCAUUAAGCGCCCCGCCUGGGGAGUACGGCCGCAAG
rnacentral:rRNA from 1 species